AAUGUCAAAACUCAAAAUUGUCAAUAAACAAUCAUUUGGCUUGACAAGAGAAUUAAUGCUGAGACUAAUAUUUUUUAUUUAUAAUUUUAAGGUUUUAUUCUAGUGAACAUACUAAAAAUGUCUGUGGCCCCAAGUCCAAACCUUCUAAAUAUCAAUGACUGUAUUAAUGGUUCAAUUUAAUGCGAAAUAGUGGGAAUUUGAGAACACUUACUUUGUUUACCCCAAACAGCAUUACACAUAGUGUACCCGAUGGACAAAAAGUAGACAUAAUGCAUGAAGAACUUUUAAUAUCUUUGGUAGAAAAAUAUACCGAAAUAUAUAAUUAUGACGAUCCGCGCUAUCACGACGACCAACGUCGCUCAAAUAUAUGGGAAGAGAUAGGAAACACUAUGAAUGAAUCCCCAAUAGCAUGUAAAGAGAAGUGGAGAAAGAUUCGCGAAAACUUUAGGAAAGCGAUUAUGCUUCGACAAACCAAAAGUGGUCAAGUGAAACAUUUUAAACCUAUUAGAUUUUCCAGGGAGUUGAGUUUUAUCAAACCGUACAUAAAAAAAGAGCAUGAGUCCAUGACCGAUCAUUCUUUGGUAGCAAGCGAUGAUGAACAAAGCUACUUAACAUCACCACCCUCAACACCUGAACCUCCAGUUGUCUCAGCUUCAUCAUCUGUGACAGCAAAGAGCGCUACCAAAAAAAGAAAAACAGUAGAAGCACCAACAAGUUCUCAAUCUAUAGAAAGCAAAUAUUCUAAUAACCUACAAGAAGACGAUCCCAUAGUCUUGUUUUUUAGAAACCUUGGCCAAACUGUGCAACAAUUUCCACCUGAUAUACAAGUACGAGUGAAAAGGGAUGUGUUCAAUAUUGUCAAUAAAGCAGAAGAAGAAUUCAUUCAAAGAAAUGAUUCCUACAAUUCAAACAUUACUGAGUACUUCUAUAUCUCAAAGCAUAAAUAAAUAUCUAAUAGCCAU